UAGUGGCGAACGGGUGAGUAACACGUGGGCAAUCUGCCCUUCACUCUGGGACAAGCCCUGGAAACGGGGUCUAAUACCGGAUAACACUCCUGCCUGCAUGGGUGGGGGUUAAAAGCUCCGGCGGUGAAGGAUGAGCCCGCGGCCUAUCAGCUUGUUGGUGGGGUAAUGGCCCACCAAGGCGACGACGGGUAGCCGGCCUGAGAGGGCGACCGGCCACACUGGGACUGAGACACGGCCCAGACUCCUACGGGAGGCAGCAGUGGGGAAUAUUGCACAAUGGGCGAAAGCCUGAUGCAGCGACGCCGCGUGAGGGAUGACGGCCUUCGGGUUGUAAACCUCUUUCAGCAGGGAAGAAGCGAAAGUGACGGUACCUGCAGAAGAAGCGCCGGCUAACUACGUGCCAGCAGCCGGGGUAAUACGUAGGGCGCAAGCGUUGUCCGGAAUUAUUGGGCGUAAAGAGCUCGUAGGCGGCUUGUCACGUCGGAUGUNAAAGCCCGAGGCUUAACCUCGGGUCUGCAUUCGAUACGGGCUAGCUAGAGUGNGGNAGGGGNGAUCGGAAUUCCU
rnacentral:rRNA from 1 species